UGGGAAGCAAGCAAUGGGGCGGGGCAGAGAGCCAGGUCUCCCGGGUUCUUGAGAGAAGGGUUGGGAACUAACUGGGUCCGUAGAAGGAAGGACCCGGGCCCGGGAGAGAGGAAAGGGCGUGCCCAGCAGCCUAAGGGCAGGUUCCCUGGAAGGACGGAAAGCCACUGACCGCUCGCUGACUCCCUGGACUCGCUGCACAUUGGAGAAGAGUGUGUGGUGAUCACGGGGGGUGAGCGUGUCCCGGAGUGCCUGGCUCAGCACGAAGGUGUCGGUCAGCAGCCGCAGGGAGCGCAGACCAGAGAUUUCUGAGUCUCCUUGUCAGCCGUCUCACGUAGCAACCAUUGUCUGGAACGCCCUAUUUGUGUGUCAAGAAAGCUCAUCGUGAUGGACUGCAAGCUCUCACACCUCCCACCAGCACCUGCAGCCCCUUAUCUCCCCUGCUGUGGCCAUC
rnacentral:lncRNA from 1 species